GUGCUCACUUCAGCAGCACAUAUACUAAAAUUGGAAUGAUAUAAAGAAGAUUAGAAUGGCCCCUGUGCAGGUUAACAUGGAAAUUCGUGAAGGUUCCAUAUUUUUU